rfam:Aedes aegypti strain Liverpool supercont1.607 genomic scaffold, whole genome shotgun sequence.
UGCCCAGCAACUUCUAUCCCUACCUCCUCGUGGUACUGGCCGGGGUACGAGUAACCUUGGCGAAGAUCGGGUAACCAACCCCCGGUGGGAACUUUGGUCGCAUGCUGACAGGGAAGG